UACGUAGGGUGCAAGCGUUGUCCGGAAUUAUUGGGCGUAAAGAGCUCGUAGGCGGUUUGUCGCGUCGGCUAUGAAAACCUGGGGCUCAACCCCGGGCCUGCAGCCGAUACGGGCAAACUAGAAUUCGGUAGGGGAGACUGGAAUUCCUGGUGUAGCGGUGAAAUGCGCAGAUAUCAGGAGGAACACCGGUGGCGAAGGCGGGUCUCUGGGCCGAUAUUGACGCUGAGGAGCGAAAGCGUGGGGAGCGAACAGG
rnacentral:rRNA from 1 species